rnacentral:rRNA from 1 species
UGCGUAGGUGGUAAGGCAAGUCAGGUGUGAAAUCUCCGGGCUCAACCCGGAAAUGGCAUUCGAAACUACCUUGCUAGAGGGUUUGAGGGGGGACUGGAAUACUUGGUGUAGCAGUGAAAUGCGUAGAUAUCAAGUGGAACACCAGUGGCGAAGGCGAGUCCCUGGAAAACUCCUGACACUGAGGCACGAAAGCUAGGGGAAGCAAACA